GACGAACGCUGGCGGCGUGCUUAACACAUGCAAGUCGAACGAAGUGGCGAACGGGUGAGUAACGCGUAAUCAACCUGCCCUUCAGAGGGGGACAACAGUUGGAAACGACUGCUAAUACCGCAUACUGAAGGAGGGGAUUGCGUCUGAUUAGCUAGUUGGGGGGGUAAAGGCCCACCAAGCCGAAGAUAAGUAGCCUGGCUGGAGGGGUUGACGGCCACAGUGGGAAUGGGGAACGGCCCAAGCUCCUGCGGGAGGCAAGAGUGGGGAAUCUUCCGCAAAGGAAGAAAGGUUGGCGGAGGAAAGGCGCGUGAGGGAUGACGGCCUUCGGGUUGUAAAGCUCUGUUAAUCGGGACGCGGUACCGAAAGAGAAAGCCACGGCUAACUACGUGCCAGCAGCCGCGGUAAUUC
rnacentral:rRNA from 1 species